rnacentral:rRNA from 1 species
AUCCUGGCUCAGGAUGAACGCUAGCUACAGGCUUAACACAUGCAAGUCGAGGGGCAGCAUGAUUGAAGCUUGCUUCAAUUGAUGGCGACCGGCGCACGGGUGAGUAACACGUAUCCAACCUUCCGUACACUCAGGGAUAGCCUUUCGAAAGAAAGAUUAAUACCUGAUGGUAUCUUAAGCACACAUGUAAUUAAGAUUAAAGAUUUAUCGGUGUACGAUGGGGAUGCGUUCCAUUAGGUAGUAGGCGGGGUAACGGCCCACCUAGCCUACGAUGGAUAGGGGUUCUGAGAGGAAGGUCCCCCACAUUGGAACUGAGACACGGUCCAAACUCCUACGGGAGGCAGCAGUGAGGAAUAUUGGUCAAUGGACGAGAGUCUGAACCAGCCAAGUAGCGUGCAGGAUGACGGCCCUAUGGGUUGUAAACUGCUUUUAUAAGGGAAUAAAGUGAGUCUCGUGAGACUUUUUGCAUGUACCUUAUGAAUAAGGACCGGCUAAUUCCGUG